GGGCGCGUAGCUCAGUUGGUUCAGAGCACCUGGUUUACACCCAGGGGGUCAGGGGUUCGAAUCCCUUCGCGCCCACCA
rnacentral:tRNA from 4 species